rnacentral:rRNA from 1 species
CGCAGAUAUCAGGAGGAACACCGAUGGCGAAGGCAGAUCUCUGGGCCGUAACUGACGCUGAGGAGCGAAAGGGUGGGGAGCAAACAGGCUUAGAUACCCUGGUAGUCCACCCCGUAAACGUUGGGAACUAGUUGUGGGGUCCAUUCCACGGAUUCCGUGACGCAGCUAACGCAUUAAGUUCCCCGCCUGGGGAGUACGGCCGCAAGGCUAAAACUCAAAGGAAUUGACGGGGACCCGCACAAGCGGCGGAGCAUGCGGAUUAAUUCGAUGCAACGCGAAGAACCUUACCAAGGCUUGACAUAUACGAGAACGGGCCAGAAAUGGUCAACUCUUUGGACACUCGUAAACAGGUGGUGCAUGGUUGUCGUCAGCUCGUGUCGUGAGAUGUUGGGUUAAGUCCCGCAACGAGCGCAACCCUCGUUCUAUGUUGCCAGCACGUAAUGGUGGGAACUCAUGGGAUACUGCCGGGGUCAACUCGGAGGAAGGUGGGGAUGACGUCAAAUCAUCAUGCCCCUUAUGUCUUGGGCUUCACGCAUGCUACAAUGGCCGGUACAAAGGGCUGCAAUACCGUGAGGUGGAGCGAAUCCCAAAAAGCCGGUCCCAGUUCGGAUUGAGGUCUGCAACUCGACCUCAUGAAGUCGGAGUCGCUAGUAAUCGCAGAUCAGCAACGCUGCGGUGAAUACGUUCCCGGGUCUUGUACACACCGCCCGUCAAGUCAUGAAAGUCGGUAACACCUGAAGCCGGUGGCCUAACCCUUGUGGAGGAGCCGUCGAUAUAUGGAAUCGGUGGGGGCCC